rnacentral:rRNA from 1 species
GACGAACGCUGGCGGCGUGCUUAACACAUGCAAGUCGAACGAAGUGGCGAACGGGUGAGUAACGCGUAAUCAACCUGCCCUUCAGAGGGGGACAACAGUUGGAAACGACUGCUAAUACCGCAAACGGAUGGAGGGGGAUGCGUGUGAUUCGCUAGUUGGGGGGGUAAAGGCCCACCAAGGCGAUGAUCAGUAGCCGGUCUGAGAGGAUGAACGGCCACAUCGGGACUGAGACACGGCCCUGACUCCUACGGGAGGCAGCAGUGGGGAAACUUCCGCAAUGGACGAAAGUCUGACGGAGCAACGCCGCGUGAGUGAUGACGGCCUUCGGGUUGUAAAGCUCUGUUAAUCGGGACGCGGUACCGGAAUAGAAAGCCACGGCUAACUACGUGCCAGCCGCCGCGGUAAUUC